ensembl:lncRNA
GAGCCAUGCAGACCUGUGUUUAAAGACAUCUGUGCUCCACCAUUUAGCACAGAGAUUGCCACUGAUAUAAAUACUUGAUGCUUUCUCAGCAUGACUGGAAUACGGUCCAAGGAACUGAGCCUCUGCUGAGUGCAAUAAUAAGUAAGUCAUUCAGUGGAGCCCUAGCUGUUAUUGGAUGUGGAUUUUGCAAAACCACAAGUGGAACUUCAGGCAACACAUGGUCCUAAUGUUUCCCCUAGAAGGACAUGGAUAUUCCAAUGGAAUGACACAUGGAAAUUUAACUUCAUCAUCAUCCUGCAAUGUUUCAUUCAUGACAGUGUCACGUAUGGACAAAUGUAAGUCUCCACUUGAGUUUCUGUGAUACAGGAUCCUCUUAGCCAGCAGUGACAAAGAUGUAAGUGAAAGUAGUGGAACCUACAAAUU